UGCUAAACAAAGAGAGAGUCACAUUAUAUAUAGAUAUAGAUAGAUAGGUAAAGCGAAAGAUAAUUAGAGAAUUAGCUGAACAGAAAUGUAUAAUCCACUGCAUGGCCCUUCCCAUAACGUUACAAGGGAAGCAAUUAAUAUCCACACAGUAUCAAUCAGAACAAGGCGACAAUCCCAAACAGCAGCAAUUUUCCUAUCAUACAAUUUUCCCGCCUUUUUCUCACUUUUGCCUUGCUAGUGCCACCACCUUCAUGAGAGAAAAUAACAACAAGAACUCGACACAACAUCGGGUUAGCAAUGUCACUUAACAGAUUAUUGACGUUGCGAAAGGAGUUACCAAAACUGCAGUAUUCCCUGUUAUGGGCUUGAGACUGGCUGCAUUCUCCAGUUGUUGCCAUGCAACCUUCCGCUUCUCAGCCAGCAAGCUUAGUUUUUCUUCACUGUCCUUAAACUGAGCAAGGCAGGAGAGGAACAGCGCCUCAUCCAUCUCUGAGAACAAUUUUCUGACAUUCAGAGUUAAGUUAAGCACUGCUUGAUUCCAGUGGCUAUGAGCAUUCUUCUCUAAUGCUGGAAAUAUAAUAGGCAGUAUCGCAUGCCGGUUAUGUGCAAUCAAGUUGACAAUUUGGUCAUUGUUCCACAAGAAAAGGGCUCUUUCAGCCACCUGAAAGUGGAAACUGCUAAUGCAGCAUCCAAUUCGCCAGAACAAUGGAACCAUGACCUUUUGGAAUUCCACCAUGUUAAUAGCUUCCAAAAUCUCUUCCAACUCACCCAGAAACAUUAACUCCUUCUGGCUAUUAGUUAUUGGCCAGUAUUUCAAUAUCCCUUUAAUCACUAUACUAGCCAACUUGGGCUCCUUCUCCAUAAACUGUGUGACACAAUAAGACAGCUGCUGAAAGUAUAUCCCUAAAGACUUUGGCUUAUGCAGAGGUAUCAAAACCCUCCACAAGAAAAUCUUAUGCUCCUCUUUCAAAGGCAAGGCAAAUCCACUAAUUAUACUCCCAAAAAUCUCCAACAACUCUGCAAUCCCAUUAUGCUUCUCUGUCUCAAACACAAAUCUAUAGAAUAUAUUGCUUAUAGACUUUCGAAUAAACGGCCUAUGCACCAUAAAUUUUCCAUAAACCUUGUGCAAUAUAGUCUUCAGACAAUCCCUUUCUCUUGGAUCCUCAGAAUCGAACAAGUCGAGCAAUCUCAAUAUAAAUGAAUGAUCUAUAUACUUCUUAGCAACUUUGGCAUCUAAGCACGUAGAAGUGAUGAAUCUAAGCAACAGAUCAUACACAAUUUGUAAAUGAGGCCAAGCGGGAUCGAACACUGGCUCAUCAUUGUCAUCAUUUUCACUCAUACUGAUCGAAUUAGACCUGUAAUUUGGAGGGAACACCCUAAAUAAAUUAACAGCAGACAUUCUACACAUGGCUAAAAUGGCUGGUUCGCUAAACUUCAUGGACCCAGAAGCCACAAAAUCUACGAGCUCGAGUAAAGUCUGCCUCUUUACAUCCUUUUCUAGCGUGUUCUUAGUUGGGUCAGUGAAAUCGAAGGUUACACAACAGAGACUUACUUUUCUCACGAACAGGUUCAUUCUCUCUGCACUGCUCACGUCCUUGAAUGGCACCAGAGGCUCAAUCCCAGCCACUACACUGGCUGGAAACACCGCAGAAGAAGUCCGUUUAGGACCAUUGGAUUUGGCUCUGGAGCCCGUGCUUGAACCGUUGGAUCGCUGAGUUGACUGCGACUCAGGGCUAGUUAAAUCAGCUGACUCAGGCUUCAACGAUUUCCUAGGGAGUUUGCUCAAGAUUUGCUUCAACAUGGCGAAAGAUUAAAACUUUAUCUUCUCCUUUGUUAUAUUCCCCCAAAAGGAAUACAAAUCAAGGACAGUGUGUCAGAUCAUGGCCAUUGGAGAUGGAUCUGAAGGGGAUUGAAAGAAUGUGGUCAGAUCCAAAGGUUUGAGAUUUGUUGAAAGGCGAAGAAAAAGCCAGUGCCUUGAAGCACAUUUAGGUGAGAGAGAGAUAUCAGACCUUCACCAAAAAAAAAAUCACAGCCAGCAAAUGGGUUUUUACUUUCAAGUGCAUAAAACAAAACCCAUUAGUAAUUAGUCUCAUUUUGGAAGGAAGGAACAGACUCACAGAAUAGAGAGAUUCAGGAAAUGGAAAUAAAUAUAUUUAUACAUAUAUAUAAUAGAGACAGAGAAUCUGAGGUUCUAAGUUGGAAAGAGAUCUGAGCCUCUGAGGAAGGAGGAACAUGAUUUUAUAUUUGAUGAUGUUAAAGUUUG
rnacentral:misc_RNA from 1 species